GAGGAAACGCUGAAGCUGGUCAUGUGACUGGACCAUACCAUGUGACUCAUUCGUCAUCAAACCUGUCAAGAACGACUUCAGUCUGGACGUAACCAUCUUUUCAGGGCGCUUGCAUGUUUGCAGCCUAGCUGUUCACAAUGAAUUAUGAAAAUCCUCCACCCUACUCGGGGGUUAAUCCACCUCAACCUUACCCACCAUUUGGACAGCCACAAGGUGGCCCAGCUCUGUAUCCUGGUUAUCCACCCAAUCCAGCAGGAUAUCAGCCAGGGUAUCAAGGAUACCCUCAGUAUGAAUGGCAAGGUGGUCAACCUCCAGCACCAGUAUAUAUGGAAGUUCCUAAAAAUACAGGUUUCCAUGUGACUGCAGUGCGCCGCCCCUAUUAAUAGGGACGCGACGCACACAGACGCUAUUCCGGCUAGAGGAAGUGCGCGAGCCGCACAAAACAACUUGUUCCAGCAGCCCCGUUCUCCACUACAGCUCCCCCGCCUGUAGCCUGUACCCUGCCUCCACUGCUUGAAUAAAGAUUACCUGCUUGUUUAUGUUGUAGAAGAAAGAAGGGAUGAUUCUGGAGAAAGUGCCUGUUUAACCGCUUGUUGGACUGCUCUUUGUUGUUGCUGCCUUUGGGAUAUGUUAACAUGAAUAUGUAUAUGUAUUUUAAUAAAUGUAUAGAUUCAAAAAGCCUAUACUUUUGUCAUUUCAUAACAUGCAUCUAUUUAACUUUAACUUAAGUUUAUUUUAUUCAUGUAAGUGCAAACAACUGCCACAUUUUCUUUCAAGUUGUGGCAAUAUAUUAAAUCAACAAUUUAACUACAGUUUCUUGUUCUGUUUUUUACUUUUUUCAUUCUUUUUAAUGUUUUUAAAUUGUAUUAUGCUUUAAAGAGUCCAUUUUUCUUAAAGAAUAAAAGUAGUAAACCACUACAGCAUGGACGGAAGACUAGACAAUUGUUAGCACAUACUUUUACAAUUCUUGCAUCUUAUAAGUUAUUGCUCAUCAAAGAAAAAGAAAUAGUUUCUAAAGAAACACAUAAGGCAAAACUAAAGCAUUGCUAAUACGCUGGGAGAAUGUCCUUAUGUAGUUUUGCCCCUAUUUUAUUUUUGCACUUAUGGAUAUGUAUAUUAGGAAUGUAUGAAAUCUGUGCCGUAGUUUUUUGUUUUCUUUUCCAAUUUCCAAUCAAUAUUGUUACUAUGCAACUAUUAAAGAAAGAUUGCAUGGAAAA